UCACAGGGGGAUAGCCCUUGGAAACAGGGAUUAAUACCGCAUAAAGCAGGGGCUCCGCAUGGAGAUAUUGCUAAAGAUUUAUCGGUGAUAGAUGGGCAUGCGUCUGAUUAGUUAGAUGGUAGGGUAACGGCCUACCAUGGCGAUGAUCAGUAGGGGGCGUCAGAGCGUGGUCCCCCACACUGGCACUGAGAUACGGGCCAGACUCCUACGGGAGGCAGCAGUAGGGAAUAUUGGGCAAUGGAUGCAAGUCUGACCCAGCCAUGCCGCGUGAAGGAAGAAGGUCCUCUGGAUUGUAAACUUCUUUUAUCGGGGAAGAAGAAACGCCUUGCGAGGUGAAGUGACGGUACCCGAUGAAUAAGCCACGGCUGACUACGUGCCAGCAGCCGCGGUAAUACGUAGGUGGCAAGCGUUGUCCGGAUUUAUUGGGUUUAAAGGGUGCGUAGGUGGUUUAAUAAGUCAGUGGUGAAAGCUGGUUGCUCAACAAUCAAGUUGCCAUUGAUACUGUUAGACUUGAGAGAAGUGGAGGCUGGUGGAAUGGAUGGUGUAGCGGUGAAAUGCAUAGAUAUCAUCCAGAACGUCAAUUGCGAAGGCAGCUGGCUGUACUUUUUCUGACACUGAGGCACGAAAGUGUGGGGAUCAAACAGGAUUAGAUACCCUGGUAGUCCACACUGUAAACGAUGCGAACUAGCUUUUUGGCUUUAGAGUUGAGAGGCUAAGGGAAACCGAUAAGUUCGCCACCUGGGGAGUACGCCGGCAACGGUGAAACUCAAAGGAAUCGACGGGGGUCCGCACAAGCGGUG
rnacentral:rRNA from 1 species